rnacentral:rRNA from 1 species
UGGGGAAUAUUGCACAAUGGGGGAAACCCUGAUGCAGCGACGCCGCGUGAACGAAGAAGGUAUUCGUAUCGUAAAGUUCUGUCCUAUGGGAAGAUAAUGACAGUACCAUAGAAGAAAGCUCCGGCUAAAUACGUGCCAGCAGCCGCGGUAAUACGUAUGGAGCGAGCGUUGUCCGGAAUUAUUGGGCGUAAAGGGUACGCAGGCGGUUUAAUAAGUCGAAUGUUAAAGAUCGGGGCUCAACCCCGCAAAGCAUUGGAAACUGAUAAACUUGAGUAGUGGAGAGGAAAGUGGAAUUCCUAGUGUAGUGGUGAAAUACGUAGAUAUUAGGAGGAAUACCAGUAGCGAAGGCGACUCUCUGGACACAAACUGACGCUGAGGUACGAAAGCGUGGGGAGCAAACAGG